rnacentral:rRNA from 1 species
GAUGAACGCUGGCGGCGUGCUUAACACAUGCAAGUCGAACGGUGAAGGCGGAGCUUGCUCUGCUGGAUCAGUGGCGAACGGGUGAGUAACACGUGAGCAAUCUGCCCCUGACUCUGGGAUAAGCGCUGGAAACGGCGUCUAGUACUGGAUACGAGCUGCGAAGGCAUCUUCAGCAGCUGGAAAGAAUUUCGGUCAGGGAUGAGCUCGCGGCCUAUCAGCUUGUUGGUGAGGUAAUGGCUCACCAAGGCGUCGACGGGUAGCCGGCCUGAGAGGGUGACCGGCCACACUGGGACUGAGACACGGCCCAGACUCCUACGGGAGGCAGCAGUGGGGAAUAUUGCACAAUGGGCGAAAGCCUGAUGCAGCAACGCCGCGUGAGGGACGACGGCCUUCGGGUUGUAAACCUCUUUUAGCAGGGAAGAAGCGAAAGUGACGGUACCUGCAGAAAAAGCGCCGGCUAACUACGUG